GACGAACGCUGGCGGCGUGCUUAACACAUGCAAGUCGAACGCUGAAGCUCAGCUUUUGUUGGGUGGAUGAGUGGCGUACGGGUGAGUAACACGUGAGUAACCUGCCUCCUUCUUUGGGAUAACGCCCGGAAACGGGUGCUAAUACUGGAUAUUCACUGGUCUUCGCAUGGGGGUUGGUGGAAAGGGUUUUUCUGGUGGGGGAUGGGCUCGCGGCCUAUCAGCUUGUUGGUGGGGUGAUGGCCUACCAAGGCUUUGACGGGUAGCCGGCCUGAGAGGGUGACCGGUCACAUUGGGACUGAGAUACGGCCCAGACUCCUACGGGAGGCAGCAGUGGGGAAUAUUGCACAAUGGGCGCAAGCCUGAUGCAGCGACGCCGCGUGAGGGAUGGAGGCCUUCGGGUUGUGAACCUCUUUCGCUCAUGGUCAAGCCGCAACAAUGGUUGUGGUGAGGGUAGUGGGUAAAGAAGCGCCGGCUAACUACGUG
rnacentral:rRNA from 1 species